UGCACUUUUUUCCAAAUAAUGCACAUUUAUUAUGUUUUAAAAUGUCUUAUUUUUAAGAAUUAUAACUAAAAGACCAAAUACUGAAGUUAAGUGCAUUGUUUUCAGUUUGGCCAGCAUGGCGAAACCCCAUCUCUACUAAAAAUACAAAAAAUUAGCUGGGCAUGGUGGCAGUUGCCUGUAAUCCUAGCUACUCAGGAGGCUGAGGCAGGAGAAUCGCUUGAACCUGGGAGGCGGAGUUGCAGUCCAGACUCUGUCUCAAAAAAAAAAAAAAAAAAAAAAAAAAGAAAAGAAAAAGAUAAAGGGAUUGUGAAAAGAGCAUUUAUACUGGACUAAUCAGAUGAGAGUAUUUUGUUAUUUUGAAAGAGUUUAUUUCUUUUACUGAGAAUAAUCUUCCUUGAGUUUAUAUAAACUGCUAUUUCCAUAUGUUUUAACUCAUUUUUUCCAUGUACUUGUAAGGUUUUAUUAUUUCCAUUUAAGUCUCUAAUUUGUUGGAAAUUUAUCCUGGCAUAUGGCUUGAGGAAUGGUUCUAAUUUUAUCUUUUACCAUAGGGCUGUCUAAUUAUCCUAAAAACACUUACUAAAAAGUCUGUCUACUCUUUCUGCACAGAUUUGAGAAGAUGCCUUUGUUGUAUAUUAAAUAUGCAUAUGAGUCUGUUUAUCUGUUUAUGGAAUUUACAUUUUGUUUUAACGGUCUUGAAUGCCCGUUCUUGGUUUCAGAAUACUCAAUGAAAUAGAAAUUGAUGAGUAUUUUCAAAGCCAACAUUGUACCUAAUGAGGAA
rnacentral:lncRNA from 1 species